rnacentral:rRNA from 1 species
AUGCAAGUCGAACGGGAAGAGAUGAAGAGCUUGCUCUUUAUCGAAUCCAGUGGCAAACGGGUGAGUAACACGUAAACAACCUGCCUUCAGGAUGGGGACAACAGACGGAAACGACUGCUAAUACCGAAUACGUUCCACGGGCCGCAUGACCUGUGGAAGAAAGGGUAGCCUCUACCUGUAAGCUAUCGCCUGAAGAGGGGUUUGCGUCUGAUUAGGCAGUUGGUGAGGUAACGGCUCACCAAACCAACGAUCAGUAGCCGGUCUGAGAGGAUGAACGGCCACACUGGAACUGAGACACGGUCCAGACUCCUACGGGAGGCAGCAGUGGGGAAUCUUCCGCAAUGGACGAAAGUUUGACGGAGCAACGCCGCGUGAGUGAAGACGGCCUUCGGGUUGUAAAGCUCUGUGAUCCGGGACGAAAGAGCCUGAGGUAAAUAGCCUGAGGAAGUGACGGUACCGGAAAAGCAAGCCACGGCUAACUACGUGCCAGCAGCCGCGGUAAUACGUAGGUGGCAAGCGUUGUCCGGAAUUAUUGGGCGUAAAGCGCGCGCAGGCGGCUUACUAAGUCCAUCUUAAAAGUGCGGGGCUUAACCCCGUGAUGGGAUGGAAACUGGAAAGCUGGAGUAUCGGAGAGGAAAGUGGAAUUCCUAGUGUAGCGGUGAAAUGCGUAGAGAUUAGGAAGAACACCGGUGGCGAAGGCGACUUUCUGGACGAAAACUGACGCUGAGGCGCGAAAGCGUGGGGAGCAAACAGGAUUAGAUACCCUGGUAGUCCACGCCGUAAACGAUGGAUACUAGGUGUAGGAGGUAUCGACCCCUUCUGUGCCGGAGUUAACGCAAUAAGUAUCCCGCCUGGG